UUAUAGUUUGAUUUGCACGAUAUUAUUAAUCAAAAUCUGCCUAAAGCUUAAUCAAAUCCUGUUUACAGUCAUCAGAUUUGAACAACCAUGUAUCCUCAAUCAAAAGACUAGGACUUCAAAUCUAAAAUAAUUCAUUUCAUGAAUGCGCCAUAAGCUAUUAAUCUUUAUAGAAUUCACUUAAGAUGCCGAAAGGCAAAAGCAUGAACAAAAGACCUCAAGUUGAAGUAUACUGAAACCUCGUGGUUCCUUCCCUGAUUCAGAUGGUAAAUGGUAACAUCAUGAAAGGUGAGUACUUGAACCAAUCAUAUGGUAGUUUGACAUGUUUCCUUUAGUUGCUAACUUGCACUGAACCUUACAGUCAUCCAGCGAAGCAACCGUAGUAGCUAACGGAAAUCACAAGGUUAUACACACCUACCAAUACCACGCAUGCCUAUUCAAAGUUCAAACCUAAAAAGAAAAAGUACCUAGAUCAUAUAUGCAGGUUCCCAUAGGAAUAUGUGAAGAUCAAAAGGGUAACUAAGCAAAGAUGGAAUUGGAAUAGAUAUAUGGGUUCAGUAUGAGUAUGUUAUUUCAACUAUGUGUUGAUUAAACCCUGUUAUAAAGAUGUGUUCAAGGUCGAACAGACAACGAAAGAAAGGAUUAACCCGCAAAAGGCUGCUCACUUGACAAGCAUGGCAUGGAAAUCACUCACCAAUUAGUGAUUGAAAAAAAUCUCCAAUUUGCUAGUUAACUCCAGGAAUCUCUCUCUGCAUAAAACAGUGGAAGAAAAAAAUUGGAAAGAAAAGAAAAGGAAAAUAAGGAAGCAUGAAGCUGUGCAACUGCACCGAAAGGGAGUUUGAUAUGAUGUGUUAGAGCGUAAAGGUGAGCUUGAUUUAUAGAAAUGAAC
rnacentral:lncRNA from 1 species